GCGGACGUAGCUCAGUUGGUAGAGCAUCACCUUGCCAAGGUGAGGGUCGCCAGUUCGAAUCUGGUCGUCCGCU
rnacentral:tRNA from 1 species